CGGCGCUAGUAAGGUGAGCUGCUUAGUCUUUUUCAAUAGCAUUUAGUUAUAUUAAUAGCAUGUAGUCUUUUUUAUAUUGAAUUUAGUGAUUGUUAAGUGUAGUUCUGUUAUAGAUUAGUGAUAGAAGGAUUUUAGACGGCGCUGAUUGAUUAUACUAAUGACAAACUACAUAAUAUUGUACUAUAUAAUACUAGUAUUGGUAAGUAGAUAAUUUAUGAACAUUUGAGAAAAAUAUUGUACAAUAUAAUCUUGCGACAUUAGUACGGGUGCAUGGCUAAUUUCAUAUCGUGUCAUUCAAUAGCAGGCAUGGAUUCACAACUAGUACAUAUCAGAGUUCAUCAUAGCAAUGGAUUAAUCGUUUAUUGUGACUCUGGGGUAGAUUUAAGUCAGUUUCAGUAUGUUAAUACAAUUGUGAACAAUCCGUUACACAUGCAACAUGCGGAUUUAUUAGGUUGGAUGCAUAAUUUUCUGCAGCUGGAUCCAAAGCAGUGGAGGAUCAAAGUUAGUGGUGUAGUUCCAAGGCAGCGUGAGCAUGGUUGGCGCUGUGAACUAUAUGAGAUGAGGAACUCGAAAUGUUGGCGUGGAUUUGUCCACAUGGCUAUGAACAAAAUGAAAUUCCCUCUUGUUGUGCUUGUUUAGCAAAAACUGGCAAAUGUAACUCAUGGGGAGAGUAGCACGAGCCAUAUCGUUCAAGUAGCAGAGGUUGUGGCUGAAACUGAUUGGCCCCAUGAAAAUGCAACUGCAGGGGAGCAGGUUGCGCAGCCUGCGGUCCACGUUACCACCGAGCCUCCUGCUGCCUUCCACGUUCUUACCGAUACUUGCAGCGAUGUCGGCGCAGAGUUGCUGUCCUUCGCGGGCCGUCUUGAGGCGAACCCGCCGCGUGUGGCCAGGAUGGAGUUAGCGAGUGGCCUACGACGCCUCGCACAGCGCUGCAUUGAGGGACAUAGGCGUGCGACGUGCAGAGGGAUGCCAGAGGUGGCUAUUCCCGAGCACAGGUCGACUCUAGUGCGCGGCACCCGCAUGACUUCACCGGCACGUGCUCCGUGCUCCUGGUCCGUCGACCGCUUGUGCGCCGUCCACCGCAGCAGGACAUUCAGCCGUCGACUCCAUGGGGGCCGCUACGCCUACCAGGUCAGCAACGGUCGAGACAACUUCAGACAGCCUAGACAGUUUCGACGUGCCGGAUCAAGACAUCUGGCCUCGGGAGGACCUACUCGACGCCUAGCAGAUACCUGGAGCCCCCACGCCGACACAGCUGACCCAGGACGACCCAGCCGAGUCCACUCCACUUCACCCCCGCCACGUACUCACCAUGCAGCGAACCGUUUCAUGUUUCCUUCUGAUCAGCUUAUCAAAAAGAGGGCGAAGAAGUAGGUUUAGGACAUUGCAGGUUCACUCUAUAUUAUGUUGUAGUUGUCUUAUUUUCCUUCUCAAUCAUUGUGUAUGAUGAUUGUGUAUCCCACGCCGUGACAUUCCUGAAUGACAUGUCAGGUUGCAUCGGAUUCUUCUGCA